GGUAGUGUAGUCCAAUGGAAAUGGCUUGGGAUUCAGAAUCACAGGACCUGGGUUCAAAUCCCAGUCUUACCA
rnacentral:tRNA from 1 species